rnacentral:misc_RNA from 1 species
AAGUCGUAACAAGGUUUCCGUAGGUGAACCUGCGGAAGGAUCAUUAAAACAAUAAUGAAUGUCGGGGAGGGCGCUUCGGUGCAUUCCCCGUGUAUUCAACCAAACCCGCUCGUGUAUUUGGAUCAAAAAAACAAACAAAAUUUUUAACGAUAAUAAUUUAAACAAACUUUCAACAACGGAUCUCUUGGCUCUC